rnacentral:rRNA from 1 species
GACGAACGCUGGCGGCGUGCUUAACACAUGCAAGUCGAACGGAAAGGCCUGCUUUCCCUUGUGGUUUGCGGGUACUCGAGUGGCGAACGGGUGAGUAACACGUGAGUGAUCUGCCCCCACCUUGGGUAUAAGCCUGGGAAACUGGGUCUAAUUCCCGAUAGUACUGCAGGGUGGUGCCUGUGGUGGAACACGAUUUUCUAGUGGUUGGGGAUGAGCUCGAGGCCUAUCAGCUUGUUGGUGGGGUAAUGGCCUACCAAGGCGGCGACGGGUAGCCGGACUGAGAGGGGGGACGGCGACAUUGGGACUGGGAUAAGGCCCAGACGGCUGCGGGAGGCGGGAGUGGGGAAUAAAGGAGAAUGGGCGGAAGCCUGAUGCAGCGAGGGCGUGUGGAAGAUGACGGGAUUGGAGUUGUAAACUCCUUGCGAAGACGAGGAGGAAAUUAAGUUGGAAGGGUGGUGACGGUAGUGGUAGAAGAAGCACCGGCUAACUACGUG